rnacentral:rRNA from 1 species
GAAUUACGUUACUGCGUCUUCUCGUUCAAAGGUUAAGGACACUAACUGCUCGAAAACCUACUUGAGCGUCCACGGUCAACCAAAUGAUUUGAACUGAACGCGAGACCAAUGGUAGUCUAGGCGAAUCGUGGACCCCUCCUUAUGUUUUGUUGCAAAGUCUACGUAAACCCAGUAAUACUCAAGUGCCAAGAGAGUAUACCUAACUACCCACCUGGUUUGUGGAAGGUUAAACCGUACUUAGUAUGAGACCUUGGACCGUUAGCGUUCAUGCACUAACAAAAGAAACUACUGUAUGAACAAAAGUCGAAGAGGAAGCUCCUAGUGGAUUAGGUAGACGCGGACCAUGAGUUCUACAACAGACUUGUAGUCACCGCACAAUUCGACAGUUUUACACGUAAACGUGUUGCAGUCCAACCUAUGAACCCUGUGUAGUAAUCGCUCGUCCCCCAGAGGUGGCUGGGCCUAUUUUAAAGUCGAUAAGUUUGAACCGGAUGAGGUUGGUUACAGUUCCUUCAGGCACCUAAGGAUCCUGACCGUCCUAUAAUGUCUUUUAAGUAGGCAGUGAUACCAUAGUGAACAGCAAGCGACUGUCAACACGAAUUUUUUCCCCAUUAGAAGGCGACCUGACUCCAACUCCUUGUUCGGAAAGUCAUAGACUUUGUUCGGGACUACAGACGGGGCCAGGAGCGUGACGGUUUAAAAUCAUUUUGGAAACACUAACGGUAACUGCGGACACUACACCCCUAUCCACUACAGGAGUACGUCCUACCAGUAGGUAACCGGAUACAAUAGUUCCGAGACCCUGGUGCUUUGGCUAGGGAGAGACACAUACUUUUCCUUAAGAACGGCUAUAACGAUCGGCACCUCGUAACCGCAGUCAUGAACGACGAUUUACUUAAGUAGUAUGUCUGACUGGUCGCGUCAAAUUGGUCAAACCGACUAGUUACAGAGGUAUGACUUACCGUCGUUUUCCGAGAGUGUUUUGAUUACCCCGAGGCAAUAGUUUAAGUCAUAUUCUUCCCGUGACUUUUAUUACGUCGGCUACGAAACAGGGCAGCGGGGGUACUAUGUCACCUUGACGUCCAGCACUGACGUCACGUUGGUCGAACCAAAAGACUGUAACGAAGAUCGAUAGUUCACCUAGUUAAGAGAGUUGUUGAAGAUGUCUUUGAUCGACGGCGGGGAAGUAGGCUGUCAUUUAAAAGAGAAUUUUUACCCGACUAAACGUGAUUCCCUACAGAGACCCACCCACGUCUACGACCAAACGUGAGAUUUUAGUAGGUUCGAAAAGUACUAAGAGGUAACCCACCCGUGAGUCCAAAGGGACAGUGUAUAGCUGCAUAAGCAGUCGAGAAAGCAACCAGAGUAUACUUUAGGUAGCAGUUCGUCAUAGACGUCGUAACGUGACAAACAGUCGUUCGAUUUGGGUUCGCUCAAGGCAUAGGACCGGAAAACGUUGGGAAUGGUUAUGGUUCAGAUAGUACCCUUUACCAGUAUUACCUAAAAUAUCUUCCGAACGGUAGAAGUCCCGCAAAGUUAACGUAGGAUCACCAGUAACUAUUCGAUAGUUUUAUACCAGUGAAGUAUGGGAAUCACGUCCAGCACCGUCUCCGAAAAGACUUAAAACAGAUGUUCGACGUACCAUACGGGAACAGGUAACAGAGACUGACACUGGCGUAAAAGUGGUCAAACAAAACCUUUCUCGACAAGGUUGCUUGUGUUCCCUGUGUUGACGCUUACUCGAGUCGGGCGGUGGGUGUUAGUCUACCAGUUUGGCUUGCACAUUUAGUCGUUCACCUCACGAUGGAAUCCACGAAACAGUCACGUGUAGGGAGGUUUACCCGUUUUACCGAUGGAAACACACUUAUGACCAUAUUAUGUUUGACCGUACGUCGAUGUAGCUUCUGAAGCAAACUCUAGUAGAUGCCCGUAGACGGAGCAGUGAAACCCUAUUGGGGACUGACGUGUCACCGAAGAGGACUAAAUCGAGAAACCGAACUGCUUGUCGUUCAAUAAAAACUUAGUCACUUUGUCGUUAACGAAGCGUGAGUUGUUGCGUACUUCCGAGUUCGACUAUUUGUAUCUUGUCUCUCUUGUAAACUCCACCCACUGGUUCAAAAAGAGUUCGAAGUCGGUAUAGAAGUCAGAAGUCAGCACGGAGCCCGGUUAGUGUUUGACCGGAUGUUUAAGAAACCAGGCAAGAGGUAUGACCUCUUUCACCCGCUCCACCGCAUAUUUAACCUAGAAGGAUGAAGAUCGUUCCAUGUUGGACAAAAGGUACAAAGAGACGAAGAGUUCCAAGAGUUUUUACUACUAGUUCACAACCGAGCCGAAGGGAGAUGACUGCUGUUGAACGCUCAUGGACUCUUUCAAGAGGUUGUUGCCCACCAAGAAGCACCUCCGUUCUUUUAAGAGGUUCACAAUAACGUCACCAGACCACUAAGACUUCUAGAACGACAAACCCUUCUGGACCUACUCGAGUUCGUCGCUAAGAGAGCGCGUAGCCGAACCCCUGUUCGGCUUAGAGGUGUCCCCCCCUAACAGUCGCUGUCUCGUGUCCUUCUCGUAGUUUCCGGGUCGGGUUCUGGGUUUGCGUUCGGAGAUGAAGGCAGAGCCGAACGUCCGGAUCUUACCCGGGAACCGGAACAUUGCUAUAUUUGUCUCACAAGGGGAAGCCCUCAUCCGCCGCCGUCUGCCGACCACCGACCGUUCCUAUCGCACACGCACACAAAGAGAGAGGAGGGAGAGCUAGGGGGAAACGGGUACCCAAACAUCGAGCUUAAACAUUAGUACCUCAUUACCUCUCCAUCGGGACUGUCUUUCUGAUACCCUAAGUUG